rnacentral:rRNA from 1 species
CAGCCGCCGCGGUAAUACGUAGGUGGCAAGCGUUGUCCGGAAUUAUUGGGCGUAAAGCGCGCGCAGGCGGUCCUUUAAGUCUGAUGUGAAAGCCCACGGCUCAACCGUGGAGGGUCAUUGGAAACUGGGGGACUUGAGUACAGAAGAGAAGAGUGGAAUUCCACGUGUAGCGGUGAAAUGCGUAGAGAUGUGGAGGAACACCAGUGGCGAAGGCGACUCUUUGGUCUGUAACUGACGCUGAGGCGCGAAAGCGUGGGGAGCAAACAGG